rnacentral:lncRNA from 10 species
UGGGGCGCCAUCUUGACGAUGGGCGGAAGACUUCAGGCAAGAGGCCAGAGUCCGAUUGAGGAUUGGUUCAGGGUGGGGUCUGGGCGAAACCUGUUACACGAUUGGAGGCCGAGGCUCUAAUGGGGCGGUACUUACUGCUGAUCUAUAUCUGCGGCGAGGCUGGGACGGAGGCACCGCCCCGCCCGACCCCACAGAACCUCGCGGGCCCUACACUCCCCCUGCCGAGGUUGAAGUCCCCAGCGGUUGGAAGAUCGGCCAAUUGUAGUGUAUUUAUCAGAAAAGUGACUCAUCCUUGAUCCUCAUUUCCCGGUCUGUCGCCUUUGUAGAAACCCCGAGGAUGGCAACCUUCAACCUGGAGAUCCCUGAAGCCUUGACCAGGGAGGUUUACAGUGAAGCGUUCCUAUUAGCGACUACAGCUAUCUAACCUCAGUUCCUCCUGCUGCAGUUUCGGUCCCUUUCUCCUCCUCCUCCAGCAACCACGCCCUCCAUGAAUCAGCUUCUUGCACCAGCAGAUGAGCCCUUUAAAGGGAUUGCAUCAGGGAUAACGCUUGGGGGAUCACUGUGAGGACUCGGAGUUAUAGAAACAGCUUUUUGCAAGACCCAGCGAGCACUCAUACUCAUCUCAGUUGAAGGGCUUCAAUGAGGAGACUCUCAGCUGAUUGAAAAUCCAGGAUUUUAACAAAGGAGAGGAGGAGGAACAGAAAGCUAGGAGGAGAAGAAGUAAUGAAUAGAAACCAAAGGUGCCAGCCAGAGGAAAUGAGAAACUGUCAUCAGGACACUACCAUGAGGAGAACGCUGGGACACACACACACACACACACACACACUCACACUCACGCUGACAUACUCUUGCUGGCUCUCCAACUCUAGGCUUACGGCAGACGGUGCUGCCAUAACAAAGUGACGCCUGUCACAACAGCAUGAGAUGGUGGCUUGACAAGGUAUAGGCAGAUCUGCCUAUCACAGAAGGAGGGAAAGAGACCUUCAACCCCCAGGGGCUUCCUCAGGCUUCUGAACCCUCGUCUCCAUUACUGGUUGGCUCUGGCUUCUCUUUGUCACCAAAUCGCAAGGCCUAAAUCUGGCAAAUUUUGAGUGUCAGACCUACACCCUGUGGCUAGGUACCACCACUGUGGUGAACAAAGGCACCUCUUAUACUCUGUCAUCAGUAUGAUGCCAAGAGUGCUGGGAAACAGAAUAGCACAGCAGUUAAGAUCAUUGAGUUGGAGUCACACAGACCUGAGUUCAAAUCCCCAUUCUGUUGUUCACCUUGAGCAGGCCACAUAACUUCCUUGAGCCGGUUUGCUCAAAUGUAAAAUGGUGCUAUUAAUAUAUGGGGUUUUUAUAAUGAUAUAAUAAGAUUACUUUCAGGGCUGGGCGCAGUGGCUCACUCCUGUAAUCCCAGCACUUUGGGAGGCCGAGGUGGGUGGAUUGUCUGAGGUCAGGAGUUCGAGACCAGCCUGGCUAACAUGGCAAAACCCCGUCUCUACUGAAAAUACAAAAAUUAGCUGGACGUGGUGGCUGGUGCCUGUAAUCCCAGCUACUUGAGAGGCUGAGCAGGGGGAAUCACUUGAACCUGGGAGGCAGAGGUCGCAGUGAGCCAAGAUCGCACCAUUGCACUCCAGCUCAGGCAACAAGAGUGAAACCCCAUGUCAAAAAAAAAAAAAAAAGGAUUAUUUUCAUUCCACAAGAUUGAUGGAGUGCCCACUAUGUGCAGAGCACUGAGCUAGAUGCUGGAGAUUCGGCAUAACCAGACAACAGC